UUGCAGGAUCAGUCAGUGUUGGUGCAGGGAAACACAUGAUUCUUCUGUCUCUAGGCCAGGUUAGAAGGGCAGUCUCCAAGGGACAGGCUUCAGGACUUGGAUGGAAACCUAACCUGAACCUAGGGUCGAUUUUACUUUAUAAUGUAUGGUUAUUCAGAGAUAGAGUAUGUGAGCCUCCAUUUGUCUUCCUGCACUGGGGCCUGAAAAUGUUAAAUCUGGUCUUUUAGAUAAUCAAUGGCUU
rnacentral:lncRNA from 10 species